rnacentral:rRNA from 1 species
AUUUGGAGAGGAUGCUUUUGGCGCGGCGCCGUCCGAGUUCCUUGGAACAGGACGCCACAGAGGGUGAGAGCCCCGUACGGACGGACGCCUAGCCUCUACAAAGCUCCUUCGACGAGUCGAGUAGUUUGGGAAUGCUGCUCUAAAUGGGAGGUAAAUUUCUUCUAAAGCUAAAUACCGGCCAGAGACCGAUAGCGCACAAGUAGAGUGAUCGAAAGAUGAAAAGCACUUUGAAAAGAGGGUUAAAAAGUACGUGAAAUUGUUGAAAGGGAAGCGCCUGUGACCAGACUUGCGCCCCGUGGACCACCCGGCGUUCUCGCCGGUGCACUCCGCGGGGCGCAGGCCAGCAUCGGUUCUCCUAGGGGGAUAAAGACCGCGGGAACGUAGCUCCUUCGGGAGUGUUAUAGCCCGCGGUGGCAUGCCCCUGGGGGGACCGAGGACCGCGCUUCGGCAAGGAUGCUGGCGUAAUGGUCACCAGCGACCCGUCUUGAAACACGGACCAAGGAGUCAAGCAUUGGGGCGAGUGUAUGGGUGCCAAACCCGCACGCGAAAUGAAAGUAAACGCAGGUGAGAGCUUCGGCGCAUCAUCGACCGAUCCUGAUGUCUUCGGAUGGAUUUGAGUAAGAGCCUUACCGCUUGGACCCGAAAGAUGGUGAACUAUGCCUGAAUAGGGUGAAGCCAGAGGAAACUCUGGUGGAGG